CAAGAAUCGAUUCAGUGACACAGAGGAUAAGUGAUAAAUGAGCUCAAACAUCUGACUAAGCAGCUAAAAAGUGAAAACGAGUUCCUUAAAAGAAAAGUCAUCCAGCUCAAAAAUCAUAGCAGAAGGAAUAAUAUUUGAGUGGUGGGACUAAAAGAAGGCUCUGAGGGAACGGACCCUGUGAAGUUCUUCACAAACUGGAUACUGGAGGUGCUGGGAGCCGAAGGCUCAGGUGAAGCAGCUCAGUGGCUGGAGCUGGAAAUUGAACGAGCACACAGGACUGUGUCUUUGGAGCCCAGACAAGGUGAACCUCCUCGUAUCUCCCCCAGACCUGUUUUGAUCCGUCUACUUCGUUCUCAAGAUUGGGAGAAAAUUUUGGCUUUGGCCAAAAAGAGAGGAACCAUCUGCUUCAAUAAUAUGAAAAUCAACCAGAAUUAGCCAAACGCUUCAAACAGCUUGUCCCCGUGCUGCAAGCGAUCAAAGCAAGAAACAUGCUGUGCUACCUCAUCUAUCCUGCACGCCUGAAGGUCCAUCUAGUCGCUGGAGGAACUCGCUUUUACAACUCUGCAGAGGAGGCAUUUCCUUUCCUUAACAGCCUGACACAGGAGAAGCAGCAGACAUCCACGGCCAAUAAUCACUGACUAUUAACACCGAGUCCGGAUAAACGAGGGUCUGUUCAGAAUGCUUGUGGGAUCAAUAUACCAGCAACUUUUGAUGGCGCAUACUGGAGAAGAAUUGACGAUUAAGGUGACAGACAGGAUUGUGGUUGCUAUUUGCUCAGGACUACGCCUCCAGAGACAGGUGAAUUGGAUUAUCGCUGCUUCCUGGACACCUGGCGUUACCUGAUCCAUCCCUAUAUUUCUCCAGUUUCUUCUAUUUUAUUUUAGUGAUGUACUACAGGGUCGUUCCGCUACCAUCCACCAGAGGGCUCCCUGUAGCUGGUUGCUGGGCUCCUCAUGCUGUCUCCUGCUGCACCUCUCCACAGGUGCAGCUCAUCAUGGGCAAUCAGCCUUCUCCUUCAGGCAGCAUAAAAGAGCUGGAAGCCAGUCACUCAGUACCUGAGUGUUAACAGUCACCGGUGCCAGUUCCAGUGCUCAUUUGUUUCCCUCUCUGUGGAGGAUCUCUGUGAAAUACCAAGACUUAGUUCAUUUCUGGAUCAGUUCCCCACGACUGGCUUCCACUCUGAGCCAGGAAUGAGCCAGCCUUACAGCAGAGAUCUGCACGACCUGUUUGCCCAGCACCACUUUGCUCUCAAAGCCUUCUGGAUUCAAACAGUGUGAGACAAACUAAUCAAGCCACACGUUAACUGGAAACCACUGUUGGCAACCCCAUCAAUGACUCACAUCUCCUCCCUGGUGGACAACACCAACUCCUCCCUCAAGCAUUGAUCAUCUCAUUCAUGUCACUCUUUGGAAACCUAUCACUUACCAACAUCUUUCUUCCAGAGUUCCUGGUUCCCCUUGUUGCUGUACCACCCAGAUCAGAUUCUCUACUGCACUAUUUCAUUGUAAUCAAUAAACAUCAUUUAACUGA